GUUAGUCUUCAAGGCAGGGUGCAAUUCCCGACCGGCGGUAUAGCCCGCAACCCGUUUCGGCGGUGGAACCCGGUGUCAUCCCGGGUGCCGACAGUAAAGUCUGGUAGAUAGAAGCAAACA
rnacentral:ncRNA from 2 species